rnacentral:tRNA from 1 species
GGGGUUGUGGCUCAGUGGUAGAGUACCCACCUUGCAUGUGUGAGGCCCUGAGGCCCUGGGUUCAAUCCUCAGCACCACA